ensembl:lncRNA
UGUAAACGUUGAAUUGGUACAUCAUUAGGACGUUAAAGACACUAUUAGUUGGAGACAGAGGGAGGACAAGCCUGUGAAAUGCCUUGCUGCCGCAUAAUUACUUGUGAAUAUAAACACAUCCACACAAACAUAUUUGUGCAUAAAUAUUUUGGGCCACUUACCAUGUGCAAGUAAGCUCUGCUGAGGCUCUGCGUGCCCAAUGUGUGCAGGGAUCCAUCCCAGUUUAGACAAGAGGAUGUUAUUUAACACUGUGCAUGCAUGUGGGAAAGAAGAGAAGGGCUUUAUUUUGCGGUAGUGAAAUAGAGUGCUCGACAUUUGUUUUGUUAAAAGAGUAAAGGCUCUUAAAGCAGCCUGCCCAACCAAUCAGCUGCACUAUGACUCGCACUCCUGAACCUGCAGCUGCCCUGCAGAGGGCUGGAGCAGAAGGUGCAGCAGUGCCUGCUGUACCCCAGCAGGAGACGUUCCUGGGAUGGAAGGGAGUGACAAGCACAUCUUUCUUAGGGCAGGGGUGAGACACAAAGCUGUAUAACACAGCACUGCACAGCAGCCACUUCCAGGGGCACCAGAAAGCUGUGUCACUCAACACACAGCUAGCGUGUGCUGAGCCAGGGAGCCAGCAGCCAGGGUGAGUCAAUGGCAUGCACAGCCCACAGGACCGCAUGGAGGCCGGGAAGAGCCAGUGCUCCCAGGAGACAAACACACACUUUCUCGGCAGUGCAAAGUGAAAUGGGAUCUGAAUGGAGCAGCCACUCAUCUCUCCCACCAUGCAUGAAACAACUGCAUGAUGCAGUAAGAAGCAGCUUGCCAGGAGGCACCAGGAGAGCCUGCUAGGCCUCAGAGAGCGCUAUUGAAACAGAAGCUGGUGCAGUGUAAUGAUGAUUGGCAAGGUCCGGUGUAUGGUAACAGGGCCUAAUUUAAGCAUGAAUGUGCUAGCACCUCUGCUUUUGAAAGGCAAAUGGAUACACAUAAUCUAUUUCCCUGAGCCGGGGUGGGGGGUUUACUCCUCAUUCUCCAUUAUCUUCCUUCUCUUGCUUCACUGUAGCUCUAGCAUGUGGCAACCUGCCCCUGAGUCUGCAGCAAUGCCAGCAGAGAGGACCUGGGCAGCCAGAUGUUCUGUCUCUGCAGGGUGCUGGUCUCUGAAUGUUUGUUUUUCUUUCUUUCUUGUCAUCUGAUCCUCCUGGCGGAAGAGUCGCACUGUGGGAUCAACCUCCUUAUUCACAGGGCAGCACAUCCUGCAAAGCACAUUUCCUACCAAAACAGGGAGUGGGGUAGAAGAAGCAAAAUGUGCCUAGGAUGGGAAUAAUUGGCAGUGGGAGAGAGACCGGUGAGUAGGUUUGCUUUGAUUUUGAGGGUUGGAUAGAGAAGCAGCCAAAACGAGAGGCAUAGGGCUGUUACACCAGCCUCUCUACAAAGCUUUGCAGCUGCUGGAGGCCUGGGUCACCUGGAUGCUGCUUAAAAAGUGCUCUUGGACACAGAUGAUAUAUGAGGGAGUCUGAAUACCGGCUAGAAGCAUGGAGGAAAAGGCAUGGAAAGUAGUCUGGAAAGAAGAGAAUGGAUACUUUCAAUAGCUCCUGACUAUAGAGUGUGGGCUCUUGCAAGAGUUGGACUCACCCAGGCAUAAUGCGGACCAGCAGCAUCUUCCACCGUGGUGUGGCAGAAACAAGCAAGAGGAGCCCUGGAUUUCUGGCCUUCCACAGAAACAACCCCCUUGUGUUGCUGCCUCCAAAGAAGCUGCCAAAAUACAAUGGUAAACAGCUACACAUUAAAGAACAAAGGUCCAUUAACUAUCAAAUAGUGUUUUAACUUGCUCCAGAAUGCAGGGAUGAAAUUCAGUUUCCUGUCACCACUGAAUUGUGACAAGCUACUCGCAAAAGCGACUUCAGAGAAGCUGGCGUGGUUUCCGUAGCUGAUAUCUGGAAGCUAUGUAGAAUUAUCUGCAGCAGCAAAGUGAGGAUAGCAAGCAAGAGAGACUCAGUUGCCAGGAGUAGGCAAGAGAAAUCACAUAGCUGAGAUGUACUGAGGCAGAUGAUCCAAAUAGCUCAGGGGGGUUCAGUCUCAUCUCCACCAGAUGCAGAAUAUGAACUCAGUAAUGCUGCUUUGUCAGGAAGAAGGAAACAGAUUACUUGUAUGCGUAGUGUGGAUCUCUUCCACGUAGCACUAAUGAGCUGCUACUAUCACUGUAGCUCAGGUACAGAUUAUUUCACUUGCAUCUAAAUUUUAAAAUAUAGAAGCAACACUCGUGUAAUUUCUGUUAUUUAGGGCAGUGUAGAUUAGUGUAGAAUAGGAGCCCAGAUUUUGGAAUUGGGUUGAGAAGAAGUAGUGUGGACCCUUUCUAAAUAACUGGGCAGUCCUACAGCUAAGAUCUCGAGAGGUCGGUCAUUCACAGCAAGGGGAAAAUGACUGAUUGGUGCAGAGAAGCUCUUCACAAUUGCAAGCAGUUAAAGCUGUCAUUCGUUGCAAGGAACUGCACUGCCAGGGGCUGGGGCACAUUUCAUACAUGAGAGCAUGCCCGCAGGCAGCCAACCUGCUCAGGGUUAUUAUUCUCUUUUUAUAAAAACCUGGCAUACCUGUGGGAGAUGAAGUCAGAGAGGAUCUUUUGAAUCACACAGAAAUAAGCAGAAGGCUUCAUCCAUUUCUGCUGGAGAUAUAUCUGGUUGUUUCUCCAUGUGGUUGUGUGAAAUUUCUUGGCAAAGUUCAGCUCUUGGGAAGGAUAUUAUAGAACAGGUUCUGCUGUAUCAGCACUGUGUGAAGAGAUAUUAAAAAUAGACAUACAUAGGAAUGGCAGGUGUUGGUAGCAUCAGUCUGUAAGUCAAUUACAUGUGGUUUCCAUAAAGUUCAUUGUUUAAGAAAAUCAAUGCUAAGAAAAUACGAUGACUUCUGCACCUACUGUGGAUACAAAGAGAUCGCUGUGCAAGACCUGAGGAAGAGAUCUCCUCAGCUGAAAACGGAGUAGCUGCUGCAGCUCCCAUUGCCUGUCCUGUGUCCUCGGCCCACUGCUGUCCUUGGCUCAGAAGCAGUAGCAGAUAGCAAUCAAGGAGUCAGGAUUUCCGCUCCCACCGCUCUUUCUUACCCUUUCUGUGUCUGCAUUGUCUCCCAAAGCUGAUCACAAAAGAUGCGGUGUGGCCACAGGCUUAGAUGGGGGAUGAUAAGGAGGAGUUAAACAGAAGCAUUUUCACAUCAAAAAUGAUUUGAUGUGUGCCAAGAUGGUGUGGUAUACGCACAGCCUGUAAACAAGAGCCAAGAUGGCUAGCAGUGGAACAGCAAAACUGCUUAAUGCCUGUGGCAGGUCUGAGCUAAAAGCCCAAAAGCUUUCACCUAAAGCUGUGGUGAACAGCUAGUUUUUCCCAGUGCCUUAUGUUGCUAUGCAGACAAAUGGAAGCUACCUCUGCAAGUCCACAGGUGAGUGCUUGUUGCAGUCUGUCAGACCCGGAUGUCUCUCAGCUUUCAAGUUCACAAGCACAUCUCUCUAACAAGAGCAGUAGGUUUGGGACACUCCUUUUGUCCUACAGGCUCUCCUUCCUCCCCAUGUCUCCCCAGGUUAAGUGAUGCUAGCACUGGGGUGUGAUGAGCUAUCACCUGCCAGAAGUGCAUUCUGACGCUGCUCCUGAGCCAUUUCACCAUGCGCUUCCACCAGAGGUGACACAGCCUCACGUCAUCCCAUCCUGCAACAGACAGACAGGGAGCAGCUCCCACCGAGUCCUACAGCAGAUCUGCUUCUGUCGGCAAGAAAGGAUUUAGCCUGGGGGAUCUGAAGAUUUUAAUUUCCUUUCUUCUCUCUCUGACUUUGCCAGUUUCCUUCCUCUGAGAUCUUCUAUAUGCACAGCUUGUAAACAAGAGCAGAGGAGGGGAGGAGGGGGGGUCUCAAAGUAGCCUGACUGCCUGCUACACUCAGGUCGGUUGGUGGCACUUCCCAGGUCUGUAGUGAGGAAAGGUGACAGGCAAGGUAAAGGUGGAUUAUGGGAGUCCAGCCACCAGGAAAUGAGAGAGGGAAGACUUUAUGAAUUUUUAACAGGGAAUUUUUCACUUCUGUAAGGAAAAUAUUCAGCUUAUGUUUACAAGAAAAUACUGGCCAUCCAGACACAUCUUCACUGUCAAAAAUGGAGCUAUUACAGAUGUGGGAAAAGGUUCCCCCAUCCAAAGCCAAGACUGCCGAAGGCUGCCCGCUCUGAGAGUCAUGGUAGAGAUACUGGAAGAUGACCACAGUCUACCAUCUUCUUAAGGAGUGGUUCUAUUUAUUACAGUAUUUGAAAUGUGAGAUCCUGAGAUAAUGGCUCAGGGAUUGCUCAAGGGCAAGGGAUGCAUCGUCUCUGAGAAGACCACUUAUCUCCCCUCUUUCUGCAUCCAUCCUGGUAAGACAACAUCUUCUGGAAGGGGGCUUUUGUGCGCAUUGCCAAAAUUCAAUUUGUGAAUUGGUUCUUCUGAAGCGAAGAUGUUGAAUGAUGUAACCCAAAUUGCCAGUCAGCUGGGUAAAGCCUGUCAGUAUUCUGGAGCCUGGAAUGGAAUAAAGUUCAUGUACCUGCAUUCCUUCUGGUUGUAGCUCACUUAAGCAUUUGAAAUAUCCACUGAGUGAAUACUCUGGGGUUUGGAGGUCAGCAGUGCUAAAACAUAAGUGUCCAGAGACUUGAUUUGCAGAGCAAGGUCUUUGACUAGAGGAAGUGAGAUACAAACCAGCACUUUUUCCUGGGGCUCGAAAGAGAGAAGAUAACUCAAGAGCUUGAACAAUCUGCCCUCUGUUACAAUACACACCCUGUUUUAACUAGUUCAGUGGCCAGGUCACAGCAGCACGCUCUAGCAAGUGAGCUCCCAAGCACUGAACAUCUACAAUUUACAGCAGCACAGUUGAGGUCUUCAGCUGCUGCAUUGUGCACCUCACAGCAGCAACAAUGAUACUGUUAUAACACAGAAAUCAUCAGUGGGAGGAAACUAAUCUUGAACAGGCUAAUAGCCACAGUUAAGUCUUUCGGAGAGUUUUUAGCAUUCUGAGCCUCAGCAUAAGGAAAAGGUGCUUCUUCAGCUUAAUGCUUUAUAUGUAAACAAAUGCUGACUUAGUAGUAGUGUGUGGACGUGUCCACUGAACAUACAGGUUUGACCUGGAUGGUGCAUUCCCCCAGAAGUUUCCUUGGAUAGCACAUCCGUGAGGGCAUGGCCAUGUUGCUGCCCGUCCAAGCAGAGUGAAAAACAAUGGAGCUUGACCAGCAACACAGAGUUAGUUGUUGGCCCCUGUAAGCUCCCUCCCCACUCUGUGAAUUAGUUUUGGACUCACAAGAGGUUUGAUAAGUGACUCAGAAGUGGCAUAUCUCUUCCUGCAAACCUUGCCAGGCUUUUAUCCUUACCCUGUAACUGCUAGAGCUACCCCAAGUGCUGACACCCUCUUCCUUGAAAUGGUUAAAAUCUAACUGUACUCAGGAGAGCAGAGGGUGGUUCAAAACAUAAAUAAAGAUGCAAGGCUAAACAUCAGGCAAGCCAAACUGAUGUUUCAACAUUCAGUGGGGUCAUAUGCUGAGCUGUACACCCAGUUGGACUCUGUAGGAUAUUUAUAAAAAUUUGCCUUGAUAAGCCCAUCAAACUCUGCUCUCAUUUUCCAGUGUACAAUACUGGAUGUGAAUUCUGCUGUUGCUGUAUGUAUAGGAACUGUUGAGUCAGGGCCUGAACCACUGAUUGAGCACCUGAGGAAAGGACCCGGUCAGCCCUGGGAGCACAG